rnacentral:tRNA from 1 species
UGCGAGCUGGAGCAAUGGCUAGCUCAUCGGGCUCAUAACCCGAAGGUUGCCUGAUCGAGACGGGCGCUCGCAA